UUUAAGAAAAAGAUUUUUACUGAAUGAAUUCCAUUGGCAGGUGUUGCAAGAGCUGCUUACGAUCGAUUGGGAGAAAAUCACACACAAAGUCGACCAUUAAACGUAUUCAGAAGCUGCAUGUAGCUAAGAAGCAAACUGUUGCACAGCUGGAGACUAAAUAAAUCGGCCAUGCCAUGCGAAGAAUGAGAAGGCGGACGACGCGAGGCCCUUGCCUUGCUAGGAGUGCAGCGAAGAAGUGCGAUGACUGGCGAUCAAAUUUUUAUCCUGAAUGGCCAACUCUGACGUUCAACUCAUCAAAUCACUCAGCCAAAGUAGUUGCACUAAUAUAAGUCCGGUUGACACCUCAAACCAGCUUUCGUUUCAAUGAGGUUCAUUGGUAGGAAUUAUCAACCUGCGCCAAAUCAAUUCCUGCGACAUACACAGUUUCCCAUUUGAGAAAAGGAGGGUAAGGACACGAAAACUUCUUUUGACCGGUGAUCUAAUUCCAUAAGUAUGUACAUUGCAUUGCUGUAAGUGAGCAGGCAGCGAUAGAUUCCCAAUUCUUCAUUUCGAAAGCAAAGAACAUUUUCCAAAGUUGAUUGGCUUCUAUUUUUGAAUCUUACAAUUUUUGCAACCAUAAGGGUAAGGGCUCGAUUCUCGUCUUUUGUUACACGACUAUUCUCCAAACUAGAUGAAGCCAAAGGCUUUUAAAAAAUCUACAUAAUAUCUUUGCUCCUAUUUGCUUUGUCAGAGUUAUUCUAAAAUCAAGGCAUCAAGACACACAGUGACGUAAUGGUCUUCAAUAGCUACUUCAAUUCUUGGAGAAGAAAAGGGGAACUUAACAGGUCUGCAGCAUCUUAUAGAGGAAACCACAACCCAGAACCACAACUUUUAUUACAAGAUGUCCAGCUGAACUGUUGUCUUCAUAUUGAAUAUUUUUAUAGAACUUUUGAUUGAGUUAGAAUUACACAAGAACGAAAAUAAUUUUUCAAUGAUUCUUUGAAAUUGUUUUUAUGACUGAUUUUGACAUUACAUCACUAGGAGACUUUGAGCAAAUCACAAACACUGUUUAUAUAUGUACUGUUGUAUGAGGAUGAAGAAAGAUGAAGUUCAAUGAUACUGCAAAACAAGAUGAUGGCUUCGACUCAAUGACAAGGCAAAAGUGAAAUUGGGUAACAAUGGCUCACAAUUCAUUAUCUCACCACAUUGAGAUGAGAAUAUAUAUAAUAUAUUAAUCCUUAGGAUAUAAUCCUUAAUAUAUUUAGGAUUAAUAUAUUACAUUGAGAUGAUGGAAAUGAAUGAAUAAAAUGGUGAAUGGUAGUCAAAA